UACGGCCAUAUAACGUUGAAACAGCGGUUCUCGUACGAUCACCGAAGUUAAGCAACGUUGAGUCUGUUCAGUAUCUAGAUGAGUGACGGCUUGAGAAUACGAGGCGCUGUAAG